AGGAGAAGACGACUUCAUCCUGAUGAAUCUACAUUAAUUUUGGAAAAUUAACAAAUUAUGUUUUCAGUGGAAAACUUUCUGGAUUUUGCUCUCACUGUGAGACAAAAAAAAAUGGCUUGUCAAGCACAUAAUUAUUCACUUGAUGACCCAUGUAAAUUAAAGACGGGAAGUCGAAGUCAAAUCCCAGUUGCUAUUAGAGAGGUAGAAAUCUUUGAUAUAAAUUAGGUUUAGGAUUCUUCUUUAACUUUAACCCUCCCCUCUGAGGUUCUUGAAUGUACAGGACUGUAGACAAAAAUUACUU